ACCGGCCAAGGAAGGAACUGCCAUCCUGUUUGAGAAAAUGAGAGAACUCGGAGUUUUACUCGGUAAAGGUGGGCUACGCGGAAAUGUUUUCAGAAUAAAGCCGCCAAUGUGUUUCACCAAAGAUGAUGCGGAUUUUCUUGUUGAUGCUUUGGAUUAUGCAAUGUCAAAGUUGUGAGCAGAAACGCUGACGUAACUUCUCGAUCCUUAGGCAUCCAAGUUAAAGCGUGAUCUUCUGUUUAAAAACAAUACUAAUAAUUAAACCGCAUACUCUCUGCAUUUGGAUGUGUCAAAGGAUCAUUAAGGUCCAGCAUAAUUAUCUUUUUAAUGUUGUGAAGUAUAUUUGUGUGUAUUUGGAUUUGUUG